CCUAUGAUAGUUUGGAACAACUACUGUUUGAUGAAGGUGAAACUACAGAAAAUAAACGUUGCCAUAUAAAACUGCAGGCACCUGAGCUUUGGUGACCUAAAAAUGAUGAUUUCAUGUGAUCCAACCAUCAACUUGGUGAAUUUAACUAUUUCCCUACAUGAUGUUCAUUGGGUUGGUUUAAACAUAUUUUCUCUCAGCCACUGAAGUUAAAAGAGCUUAGGCUUAGCCUGUUAUCUCACAUGCCAGCAUCCCCCCCAGAAAUGACAAGGGCCAGUGAUCGCACUCAGCUGCACUUUAGGAGUAGUUUCUUAAAAGCACCAACCCUGUUGGCCCCUGAAAACAAAGUCAGAAUCUCUGGAGACUGGGGCUUGGACAGCAGGUCUUUUGUUGUCGUUGUUAUCAACUCUACUAAGGUAUAAUUGGCAGACAGCAAACUGUUCAUUUUUAAAGUGCUGAGCUGGAGAAGUUUGACAAAUGUGUUCACUUGUGGGACCAUCACAACACUCAAGCUGAGUUCUUCCACCACCAUCCCGCCAGCCCCCUGGAUGCCCCACAGAGAACGAGGAAGACGGGGAGUGUCAGUCACCAGCCAGGGAGUGCCAAGGAGUGCCAGCCGCAGCAGAGCCCAGACAGGCAAGAAGUCACCACCCUGUGGCCCUUCACCAGGGCAGCCUGAGGACACACAGCCAUGGCCUCAGGCCUGGUGGCUCCAGCCUGGGGCGCAGGCCUGGGUCAAUGGGCUCCUGGACCCUGCGUGAGGAGGGUGUGGGCCAGAAGAGUCUGGGCCCACGUGGCUCCUUCCAGGCUGAUGCCUCACUAGCCUUCUCUUUAUAAGGCUUCAUUGUUUCCAGAACUGGUUUAAGUACAAGGGGUGAUUCCUGUAAACAGUGGAGAAGAGUUUUAAUGAAGCAAGUUUGGAUUUCAAUCUUUAUUCUCGGGACACCUGGGCAGCUCAGCGGUUGAGCAUCUGCCUUCGGCUCAGGGUCACGAUGGGCAUCGACGACCAUAGAAGAUCUGAAACCUUCAUAGCACCCCUUCCAGAAAGAAGACAAUUGGCUUGAAAAUAAACAACAAAUGGAGGGGCACCUGGCGGGCUCAGUCAGUAAAGUGUUCAACUCUUGGGGCAGCCCCAGUGGCAC